rnacentral:tRNA from 1 species
UCCCUGGUGGCUCAGAAGUUAAAGCGUCUGCCUGCAAUGCAGGAGAUGUGGGUUCGAUCCCUGGUUUGAGAA